rnacentral:rRNA from 1 species
AAUUGGAGGGCAAGUCUGGUGCCAGCAGCCGCGGUAAUUCCAGCUCCAAUAGCGUAUAUUAAAGUUGUUGCAGUUAAAAAGCUCGUAGUUGAAUUUCGGGAUCAAUAUUUCGGUCGUGCCGUUGGUAUGCACUGUUAUCAUUGAUUUCUCACCUUCUAAAGAACCGUAAUGCCAUUAAUUUGGUGUUACGGGGAAUUAGGACUGUUACCUUGAAAAAAUUAGAGUGUUUAAAGCAGGCUCACGCUUGAAUACAUUAGCAUGGAAUAAUGAAAUAGGACAUCCGAUUCUAUUUUGUUGGUUUCUAGGAUCGAUGUAAUGAUUAAUAGGGAUAGUUGGGGGCAUUAGUAUUCAAUUGUCAGAGGUGAAAUUCUUGGAUUUAUUGAAGACUAACUACUGCGAAAGCAUUUGCCAAGGAUGUUUUCAUUAAUCAAGAACGAAAGUUAGGGGAUCGAAGACGAUCAGAUACCGUCGUAGUCUUAACCAUAAACUAUGCCGACUAGGGAUCGGAUGAUGUUAAUUUUUUAAUGACUCAUUCGGCGCCUUACGGGAAACCAAAGUGU